rfam:Camelus ferus unplaced genomic scaffold scaffold436, whole genome shotgun sequence.
GAGGGUAAAGCUCAGUGGCAGAGCACCUGCUUAGCAGGCACGAGGUUCUAGGUUCAAUCCCCAGUGCCUCCA